ACACUGUAGAUAGUUUUGGAAUUUCAUAUAAAUGAUUAUACCGUAUGCAUUAUUUAAGUUUGGCUUCUUUUGCUGUCAUUAUAUGAGAUCCAUAUUGUGAGUAGCAGCAGUUCUUUUUCAUUGCUGACCAGAAUUCCAUUGUGUGGAUGUCUCAAUUUUUGUGUCCAUUCUCUUAUUGAUAAUACUUUUGUAUUGUUGGCGGUUUGGGGCUAUGAUGAAUAAACCUGCUGUGAACAUUCUUGUAUUUGUCUUUUGGUGGAUAUAAGCACCCUAGAGGGGAUUUGCUGGGUCAUAGUUUAUAAAUACAUGUAGUUUUAGAAAAUACUGUCAAACAGUUUUCCAAAUUAUUUGUGUGGUAUUUUUCUUAAUAAAACUAAGGCUAAUUAAAAGAGCGCUGGGACUUUUAUUUAGUUUGCCAUCUGCUUCAGGAUUGUCCCAAUAUAAGAGAGGUAAAAUUUUGAGUCUUGAAUUUAUCACUGUUGGAACUACUUUCUGAAAAUAGAAUUUAUUCUCAAGU
rnacentral:lncRNA from 10 species